UACGUAGGGUGCAAGCGUUGUCCGGAAUUAUUGGGCGUAAAGAGCUCGUAGGCGGUCUGUCGCGUCGGCUGUGAAAACUCGGGGCUCAACUCCGAGCUUGCAGUCGAUACGGGCGGGCUAGAGUUCGGCAGGGGAGACUGGAAUUCCUGGUGUAGCGGUGAAAUGCGCAGAUAUCAGGAGGAACACCGGUGGCGAAGGCGGGUCUCUGGGCCGAUACUGACGCUGAGGAGCGAAAGCGUGGGGAGCGAACAGG
rnacentral:rRNA from 1 species